CCGGCGAUGUCCGAAUGGGGAAACCCAGUGCAAUUCGUUGCACUAUCGUUAACUGAAUACAUAGGUUAACGAGGCGAACCGGGGGAACUGAAACAUCUAAGUACCCCGAGGAAAAGAAAUCAACCGAGAUUCCCCCAGUAGCGGCGAGCGAACGGGGAGCAGCCCAGAGUCUGAAUCAGCUUGUGUGUUAGUGGAACGGUCUGGAAAGUCCGACGGUACAGGGUGAUAGUCCCGUACACCAAAAUGCACAGGCUGUGAACUCGAAGAGUAGGGCGGGACACGUGGUAUCCUGUCUGAAUAUGGGGGGACCAUCCUCCAAGGCUAAAUACUCCUGACUGACCGAUAGUGAACCAGUACCGUGAGGGAAAGGCGAAAAGAACCCCGGCGAGGGGAGUGAAAAAGAACCUGAAACCGUGUACGUACAAGCAGUGGGAGCACCUUCGGGUGUGACUGCGUACCUUUUGUAUAAUGGGUCAGCGACUUAUAUUCUGUAGCAAGGUUAACCGUAUAGGGGAGCCGCAGGGAAACCGAGUCUUAACUGGGCGUUAAGUUGCAGGGUAUAGACCCGAAACCCGGUGAUCUAGCCAUGGGCAGGUUGAAGGUUGGGUAACACUAACUGGAGGACCGAACCGACUAAUGUUGAAAAAUUAGCGGAUGACUUGUGGCUGGGGGUGAAAGGCCAAUCAAACCGGGAGAUAGCUGGUUCUCCCCGAAAGCUAUUUAGGUAGCGCCUCGUGAAUUCAUCUUCGGGGGUAGAGCACUGUUUCGGCUAGGGGGUCAUCCCGACUUACCAACCCGAUGCAAACUACGAAUACCGAAGAAUGUUAUCACGGGAGACACACGGCGGGUGCUAACGUCCGUCGUGAAGAGGGAAACAACCCAGACCGCCAGCUAAGGUCCCAAAGUCAUGGUUAAGUGGGAAACGAUGUGGGAAGGCACAGACAGCCAGGAUGUUGGCUUAGAAGCAGCCAUCAUUUAAAGAAAGCGUAAUAGCUCACUGGUCGAGUCGGCCUGCGCGGAAGAUGUAACGGGGCUAAACCAUGCACCGAAGCUGCGGCAGCGACACUAUGUGUUGUUGGGUAGGGGAGCGUUCUGUAAGCCUGCGAAGGUGACCUGUGAGGGUUGCUGGAGGUAUCAGAAGUGCGAAUGCUGACAUAAGUAACGAUAAAGCGGGUGAAAAGCCCGCUCGCCGGAAGACCAAGGGUUCCUGUCCAACGUUAAUCGGGGCAGGGUGAGUCGACCCCUAAGGCGAGGCCGAAAGGCGUAGUCGAUGGGAAACAGGUUAAUAUUCCUGUACUUGGUGUUACUGCGAAGGGGGGACGGAGAAGGCUAUGUUAGCCGGGCGACGGUUGUCCCGGUUUAAGCAUGUAGGCUGGUUAUCCAGGCAAAUCCGGAUAAUCAAGGCUGAGGUGUGAUGACGAGGCACUACGGUGCUGAAGUAACAAAUGCCCUGCUUCCAGGAAAAGCCUCUAAGCAUCAGGUAACAUCAAAUCGUACCCCAAACCGACACAGGUGGUCAGGUAGAGAAUACCAAGGCGCUUGAGAGAACUCGGGUGAAGGAACUAGGCAAAAUGGUGCCGUAACUUCGGGAGAAGGCACGCUGGUGUGUAGGUGAAGUCCCUGCGGAUGGAGCUGAGACCAGUCGAAGAUACCAGCUGGCUGCAACUGUUUAUUAAAAACACAGCACUGUGCAAACACGAAAGUGGACGUAUACGGUGUGACGCCUGCCCGGUGCCGGAAGGUUAAUUGAUGGGGUUAUCCGUAAGGAGAAGCUCUUGAUCGAAGCCCCGGUAAACGGCGGCCGUAACUAUAACGGUCCUAAGGUAGCGAAAUUCCUUGUCGGGUAAGUUCCGACCUGCACGAAUGGCGUAAUGAUGGCCAGGCUGUCUCCACCCGAGACUCAGUGAAAUUGAACUCGCUGUGAAGAUGCAGUGUACCCGCGGCAAGACGGAAAGACCCCGUGAACCUUUACUAUAGCUUGACACUGAACAUUGAGCCUUGAUGUGUAGGAUAGGUGGGAGGCUUUGAAGCGUGGACGCCAGUCUGCGUGGAGCCAACCUUGAAAUACCACCCUUUAAUGUUUGAUGUUCUAACGUUGGCCCCUGACCGGGGUUGCGGACAGUGUCUGGUGGGUAGUUUGACUGGGGCGGUCUCCUCCCAAAGCGUAACGGAGGAGCACGAAGGUUAGCUAAUCCUGGUCGGACAUCAGGAGGUUAGUGCAAUGGCAUAAGCUAGCUUGACUGCGAGCGUGACGGCGCGAGCAGGUGCGAAAGCAGGUCAUAGUGAUCCGGUGGUUCUGAAUGGAAGGGCCAUCGCUCAACGGAUAAAAGGUACUCCGGGGAUAACAGGCUGAUACCGCCCAAGAGUUCAUAUCGACGGCGGUGUUUGGCACCUCGAUGUCGGCUCAUCACAUCCUGGGGCUGAAGUAGGUCCCAAGGGUAUGGCUGUUCGCCAUUUAAAGUGGUACGCGAGCUGGGUUUAGAACGUCGUGAGACAGUUCGGUCCCUAUCUGCCGUGGGCGCUGGAGAAUUGAGGGGGGCUGCUCCUAGUACGAGAGGACCGGAGUGGACGCAUCACUGGUGUUCGGGUUGUCAUGCCAAUGGCACUGCCCGGUAGCUAAAUGCGGAAGAGAUAAGUGCUGAAAGCAUCUAAGCACGAAACUUGCCCCGAGAUGAGUUCUCCCUGAGACUUUAAGUCUCCUGAAGGAACGUU
rnacentral:rRNA from 2 species